rnacentral:rRNA from 1 species
GAUGAACACUGGCGGCGUGCCUAAUACAUGCAAGUCGAGCGAACAGAUGAGGAGCUUGCUCCUCUGACGUUAGCGGCGGACGGGUGAGUAACACGUGGAUAACCUACCUAUAAGACUGGGAUAACUUCGGGAAACCGGAGCUAAUACCGGAUAAUAUAUUGAACCGCAUGGUUCAAUAGUGAAAGACGGUUUUGCUGUCACUUAUAGAUGGAUCCGCGCCGCAUUAGCUAGUUGGUAAGGUAACGGCUUACCAAGGCAACGAUGCGUAGCCGACCUGAGAGGGUGAUCGGCCACUCUGGAACUGAGACACGGUCCAGACUCCUACGGGAGGCAGCAGUAGGGAAUCUUCCGCAAAGGGCGAAAGCCUGACGGAGCAACGCCGCGUGAGUGAUGAAGGUCUUCGGAUCGUAAAACUCUGUUAUUAGGGAAGAACAAAUGUGUAAGUAACUAUGCACGUCUUGACGGUACCUAAUCAGAAAGCCACGGCUAACUACGUG